CAGUCGCCGCGGGAAUACGAAGGGUGCAAGCGUUACUCGGAAUUACUGGGCGUAAAGCGUGCGUAGGUGGUGGUUUAAGUCCGUUGUGAAAGCCCUGGGCUCAACCUGGGAAUUGCAGUGGAUACUGGAUCACUAGAGUGUGGUAGAGGAUAGUGGAAUUUCCGGUGUAGCAGUGAAAUGCGUAGAGAUCGGAAGGAACAUCUGUGGCGAAGGCGACUAUCUGGGCCAACACUGACACCGAGGCACGAAAGCGUGGGGAGCGAACAGGAUUAGAUACCCCUGUAGUCCCUGUCUCUUAUAC
rnacentral:rRNA from 1 species